AGAAAACAAAUCCAUCUCCUCCUCAAUGAAGUGGACCUCGGAGCCUUCACAAACUGUUCUUCGAACCUUGUUGUUGAUGAUGAUGAAGAAAUCCAUCUCCUCCUCAAUGAAGUUGACCUCGGAGCCUUCACAAACUGUUCUUCGAACCUUGUUGUUGAUGAUGAUGACAAUGGACCUUCACAAACUGUUGAAAGGUCCUUGACUGAUGAUGAGACAUUGAUGUUGAUGAAGGCCCUUCACAAACUGUUCUUCGGACCUUCACGGAUUGAUGAUGAUGCCAGCUUUGAUGGGAAGCUGAUGAUGAUGGUUAACUCCAACGAGUUGUUGAUGACGAAGACCAGCUCCGACGUGAAGCUGAGGACGUCUUGCUGCUGUCACUGCUGGAACCGAACUGGAGGACGACAGGAGGAUUGA
rnacentral:lncRNA from 1 species